rnacentral:rRNA from 1 species
UACGUAGGCAGCGAGCGUUGUUCGGAAUUACUGGGCGUAAAGAGUGUGUAGGCGGUGCUCUAAGUUCGGUGUGAAAUCUCCCGGCUUAACUGGGAGGGUGCAUUAGAAACUGGAAUGCUAGAGGAUGGGAGAGGUAAGCGGAAUUCCUGGUGUAGCGGUGAAAUGCGUAGAUAUCGGGAGGAACACCUGUGGCGAAAGCGGCUCACUGGACCAUAACUGACGCUGAUGCACGAAAGCUGGGGGAGCAAACAGG